CAAAGAUCUGGUCCUGGUCUUACCAUCAGUUCUAACUAAACUUACACAUGCAAGCCUCUUCGCCCCAGUGAAAAUACCCUUUAUCAUCCCAUUUAGAGGAAAAGGAGUUGGUAUCAGGCUCAAACAGCCCAAAACACCAAGUUAAGCCACACCCCCAAGGGAAUUCAGCAGUGACGAUGUAGAAUGAUUAAACCUCUAGAGGAACCUAGAUUACCUAGUUAUAGUUAAGAUAGUCGGUCAAUUUCGUGCCAGCCACCGCGGUUAUACGAGAGACUUAAACUGAUAGUCAUCGGCGUAAAGCGUGAUUAAGGACCCGUAUCACUAAAGUUAAACUCUGACCCAGCUGUUAUACGCCCCCGUCUACGAGAAACCCAAUAACGAAAGUAACUUUACCACCUCCUGAAUUCACGGUAGCCGGGGCACAAACUGGGAUUAGAUACCCCACUAUGCCCGGCCUCAAACUUUGAUUAAUUACAAUUUUAUUCGCCAGGGAACUACGAGCGUCAGCUUAAAACCCAAAGGACUUGGCGGUGCCCUACACCUCCUAGAGGAGCCUGUUCUAUAAUCGAUGAUCCACGAUACACCUCACCGUUUCUUGCCAAAACCGCCUAUAUACCGCCGUCUCCAACUUACCCUAUGAAGGAUUUACAGUAAGUUCAAAGAUCACUCAUCAGAACGUCAGGUCAAGGUGUAGCGAAUGAAACGGGAAGAAAUGGGCUACAUUUUCUAUUUUAGAUCACACGGACAGUCAGUAUGAAACCUGAUUAUGAAGGAGGAUUUAGCAGUAAAAAGAAAUCAGCAAGUUCUUUUUAAGUCGGACCUAGGGCGCGUACACACCGCCCGUCACCCUCUUCAACUCAUUUCACCCUAUUUAUAAUAAAAUAAUUGGAGAUAAGAAGAGGCAAGUCGUAACAUGGUAAGUAUACCGGAAGGUGUACUUGGAA
rnacentral:ncRNA from 1 species